rnacentral:rRNA from 1 species
CACGUAGGGGGCGAGCGUUGUCCGGAUUUAUUGGGCGUAAAGAGCUCGUAGGCGGCUCAGUAAGUCGGGUGUGAAAACUCCAGGCUCAACCUGGAGACGCCACCUGAUACUGCUGUGGCUAGAGUCCGGUAGGGGAGCAUGGAAUUCCUGGUGUAGCGGUGAAAUGCGCAGAUAUCGGGAGGAACACCCGUAGCGAAGGCGGCACUCUGGGCCGUGACUGACGCUGAGGAGCGAAAGCGUGGGGAGCAAACAGG